ACGGAAGGCAGCAGUGGGGAAUAUUGGACAAUGGGGGAAACCCUGAUCCAGCGACGCCGCGUGGGUGAAGAAGUAUUUCGGUACGUAAAGCUCUAUCAGCAGGGAAGAUAAUGACGGUACCUGACUAAGAAGCCCCGGCUAACUACGUGCCAGCAGCCGCGGUAAUACGUAGGGGGCAAGCGUUAUCCGGAUUUACUGGGUGUAAAGGGAGUGUAGGUGGCCUGGCAAGCCAGAUGUGAAAGCCCGCGGCUCAACCGCGGGACGGCAUUUGGAACUGUUAGGCUUGAGUGCAGGAGAGGAAAGUGGAAUUCCUAGUGUAGCAGUGAAAUGCGUAGAUAUUAGGAGGAACACCAGUGGCGAAGGCGGCUUUCUGGACUGUAACUGACACUGAGGCUCGAAAGCGUGGGGAGCAAACAGGAUUAGAUACCCUGGUA
rnacentral:rRNA from 1 species